GACGAACGCUGGCGGCGUGCUUAACACAUGCAAGUCGAACGGAAAGGCCCUGCUUUUGUGGGGUGCUCGAGUGGCGAACGGGUGAGUAACACGUGAGUAACCUGCCCUUGACUUUGGGAUAACUUCAGGAAACUGGGGCUAAUACCGGAUAGGAGCUCCUGCUGCAUGGUGGGGGUUGGAAAGUUUCGGCGGUUGGGGAUGGACUCGCGGCUUAUCAGCUUGUUGGUGGGGUAGUGGCUUACCAAGGCUUUGACGGGUAGCCGGCCUGAGAGGGUGACCGGCCACAUUGGGACUGAGAUACGGACCAGACUCCUACGGGAGGCAGCAGUGGGGAAUAUUGCACAAUGGGCGGAAGCCUGAUGCAGCAACGCCGCGUGCGGGAUGACGGCCUUCGGGUUGUAAACCGCUUUCGCCUGUGACGAAGCGUGAGUAACGGUAAUGGGUAAAGAAGCACCGGCUAACUACGUG
rnacentral:rRNA from 1 species